GGCGGAGGUCCCGGUGAAAUCAGGGGCUAAGGGGACCCAAAGAAGGCGGGGGAUCAUAGGGGUGGAAAGAAAGCUGAGAACCUUGAGACCGGAGUGUGAGGGGCCAACGGGGAAGGGCGCUAGAAUUUUAAACUAAAGUAGGGACCGGAAUUCCCCUGGGGAGAUGUUGGAUGGCCCUGUGCACUGCCACGGGCUCUUUAUUCUUCGCUGGUUAGAAACAGACUUGUGAAAAAGAGUUAUGCCCACUUUGGGGAGACUUCGAAAAGGUUAAGAAGUUCUUACAAGAGUUCUACCAGGAUGAUGAACUCGGGAAGAAGCAGUUCAAGUAUGGGAACCAGUUGGUUCGGCUGGCUCAUCGGGAACAGGUGGCUCUGUAUGUGGACCUGGACGACGUAGCCGAGGAUGACCCCGAGUUGGUGGACUCAAUUUGUGAGAAUGCCAGGCGCUACGCGAAGCUCUUUGCUGAUGCCGUACAAGAGCUGCUGCCUCAGUACAAGGAGAGGGAAGUGAGUGGUUAGAGAACAAUGGCAAACAAAGGGCGAGGCGUUUAAGCUUCUGUAGAGAGGCUGCUCAGAUACUGAUGUUUUCUGAGCAGGCAGAAAGGAGGGGCACUUCUGCCUGGUGUUCUCUGUGCUCUCCUUUCCCCAUCCUGUUGCUCUUUUUUUUUUUUUUUUUUGUUCUUCUCCUUUAGGUGGUAAAUAAAGAUGUCCUGGACGUUUACAUUGAGCAUCGGCUAAUGAUGGAGCAGCGGAGUCGGGACCCUGGGAUGGUCCGAA
rnacentral:lncRNA from 10 species